rnacentral:rRNA from 1 species
UAGGGAAUCUUCGGCAAUGGACGAAAGUCUGACCGAGCAACGCCGCGUGAGUGAAGAAGGUUUUCGGAUCGUAAAACUCUGUUGUUAGAGAAGAACAAGGACGUUAGUAACUGAACGUCCCCUGACGGUAUCUAACCAGAAAGCCACGGCUAACUACGUGCCAGCAGCCGCGGUAAUACGUAGGUGGCAAGCGUUGUCCGGAUUUAUUGGGCGUAAAGCGAGCGCAGGCGGUUUCUUAAGUCUGAUGUGAAAGCCCCCGGCUCAACCGGGGAGUGUCAUUGGAAACUGGGAGACUUGAGUGCAGAAGAGGAGAGUGGAAUUCCAUGUGUAGCGGUGAAAUGCGUAGAUAUAUGGAGGAACACCAGUGGCGAAGGCGGCUCUCUGGUCUGUAACUGACGCUGAGGCUCGAAAGCGUGGGGAGCAAACAGG